GACGAACGCUGGCGGCGUGCCUAAUACAUGCAAGUCGAACGCAGUGGGGACGGGUGAGUAACACGUGGGUAAACUCCCAUAAGAGGGGAUAACACUUGGAAACAGGUGCUAAACCGAUACUGCUUGAUGGACCCGCGGUGCAUUAGCUAGUUGGUGAGGUAACGGCUCACCAAGGCCACGAGGCAUAGCAGACCGGAGAGGGUGAUCGUGCAGACUGGGACGGAGACACGGUCCAGAAUCCGACGGGAGGCAGCAGUAGGGAAUCUUCGGCAAGGGACGAAAGUCUGACGGAGCAACGCCGAGGGAGUGAAGAAGGUUUUAGGAUCGUAAAACUCUGUGGUUAGAGAAGCGGUAUCUAACCAGAAAGCCACGGCUAACUACGUGCCAGCAGCCGCGGUAAUAC
rnacentral:rRNA from 1 species